rnacentral:rRNA from 1 species
CAGUAGCCGCGGUAAUACGAAGGGUGCAAGCGUUAAUCGGAAUUACUGGGCGUAAAGCGUGCGUAGGCGGUUUGUUAAGUCUGCUGUGAAAUCCCCGGGCUCAACCUGGGAAUGGCAGUGGAUACUGGCAAGCUAGAGUGUGUCAGAGGAUGAUGGAAUUCCCGGUGUAGCGGUGAAAUGCGUAGAGAUCGGGAGGAACAUCAGUGGCGAAGGCGGCCAUCUGGGACAACACUGACGCUGAGGCACGAAAGCGUGGGGAGCAAACAGGAUUAGAUACCCGUGUAGUCCCUGUCUCUUAUAC